AGAUUGAACGCUAGCGGGAUGCUUUACACAUGCAAGUCGAACGGCAGCGCGGACUUCGGUCUGGCGGCGAGUGGCGAACGGGUGAGUAAUAUAUCGGAACGUGCCCAGUAGCGGGGGGAUAACUACGCGAAAGCGUGGCUAAUACCGCAUACGCCCUACGGGGGAAAGGGGGGGAUUCUUCGGAACCUCUCACUAUUGGAGCGGCCGAUAUCAGAUUAGCUAGUUGGUGAGGUAAAGGCUCACCAAGGCGACGAUCUGUAGCUGGUUUGAGAGGACGACCAGCCACACUGGGACUGAGACACGGCCCAGACUCCUACGGGAGGCAGCAGUGGGGAAUUUGGACAAUGGGGGAAACCCUGAUCCAGCCAUCCCGCGUGUGCGAUGAAGGCCUUCGGUUGUAAAGCACUUUGGCAGGAAGAACGGCGCCGCCUAAGUACGGGCGUCGACUGACGUACCUGCAGAAUAAGCACCGGCUAACUACGUGCCAGCGAGCCGACGGUAACUCGUGA
rnacentral:rRNA from 1 species